UUGUACUUUUGAGUAAGGCUAAUUUUUUUUUCUGUAAUCUCUUUUGUGGUUUAAAAGCAGGAGUGAUCUUAAUGGUGAGUUUAAAUUCACUGGAAAUGGCCUUUUGGGACAGCAUUGCAGGAAAAUAUAGGCUAAUUAAAAAGCCAUGGGGUUUGGAAUUUUUUUUAUAUGGACUACAUUUGUUCUGAAGGUUUGUCCUAUAAAUUGAUGCGGAACAUUCUGACAUAUAGUAAGUAUAGAGUUUGUGGAGUACAAUAGGUAACGACCUAGAGACUAUAUCCUCACUGGAGAAUCUCCAACUUAUAAUGUAGUAAGAAUAAACACUUGAACCAGUGGGAGGCAAGUUGAAACUACCUUGUCCGAACCCCCUCUUCUCUUCUCUCCGUUUGAGGGGCAGGGAAGUGAGCCAUCAGAUCAGAGUUAUGUUCUAUGUUGCACACUUUGGAGCCUCAACGUCCUCCUCUGAACAAUGGGAAACAUCAUGGAGUAUCCUGAGUAUUGGAUGGACCAGCGUCUGGCAUAAAAUAAGAACAAUACACCACUUGGGGGAAAUAGAGAAAUACUACUCUGCUCAAGACUUGAAGAGCGACUUAUAAACACACCAAUACCUAAGGUCUCCACCUAGUCUACCACGUGUCUGAAGUGAACCAGGUAACUCCCUCCUACGAAUCAUUCUUGAACACAUGCUAUGUAUCCAGCCUUCGUCUGGGCUCUGAGUAGAUUACUCACCUGAUGAAUUUGUUGUUGUUUAAUAGUACAAAAUUUUCAUAAUGAACUGGUGGGGCAAAAGAAAAGGCCUGUGCAUAUUUUGUCUAGCUAUCCCUGUGUGCAUUUCUUGUUAUUAAAGGAUUACUUCUUCAAUGG
rnacentral:lncRNA from 1 species